CCUACGGGAGGCAGCAGUGGGGAAUAUUGCACAAUGGGGGAAACCCUGAUGCAGCAACGCCGCGUGAGUGAGGAAGUAUUUCGGUAUGUAAAGCUCUAUCAGCAGGGAAGAAGCAAGACGGUACCUGACUAAGAAGCCCCGGCUAACUACGUGCCAGCAGCCGCGGUAAUACGUAGGGGGCAAGCGUUCUCCGGAUUUACUGGGGUGAAAGGGAGCGUAGGCGGUAUGGCAAGUCUGAAGUGAAAGCCCAGGGCUUAACCCUGGGACUGCUUUGGAAACUGGUAGACUAGAGUGCUGGAGAGGUAAGUGGAAUGCCUAGUGUAGCGGUGAAAUGCGUAGAGAUUAGGAGGAACACCAGUGGCGAAGGCGGCUUACUGGACAGUAACUGACGCUGAGGCUCGAAAGCGUGGGGAGCAAACAGGAUUAGAUACCCCUGUAGUC
rnacentral:rRNA from 1 species